rnacentral:misc_RNA from 1 species
GCCUAUGCAAUUUAGUAAAAACCUUCACCGUGGACCCAAGUCCCUUAGCUCGGCAAAGACCUCUAAAGACCGCCAGAGUUCGCCAAGAGUUCGAAUGCACUUGGGCUAUACAGAUGUGGUGGAACUUCAGAACGGACUUGUAAAAUUUAUCCAGGGGAAACUAGAGCCUGGCUUUUAAUUGUUUUUCAUAUACUAUGAUCCGAUCGGUUUCAUCAAAGAAGUGAUCA